AGGCUGCAACGUACUUACCACCUUUUUGCCGCAAAAGUACCGGUAAUGUCUGUGAAAAAACUGAGUACUCCACCAAACUAAGUUUAGAAACAGUUUAACCCACCAAAUUUCACUACAGAAAUGAAUGAUGAUGUUGAUGAAUCCAAUAAUUGAUUAAAAAAAACGUAUGGCUACUGAGACAAAAACUAAGGUGGUCAAAGGUCAAAUCUGACAGUAGCUAUCAAAAGUGGGUUCGGCCGCCUAAAAUUGAUUCAUCUGUGAUCUCUUUCAAGCCACAUGAGGGAAAAUCCACCAUUACUGUCUCUAAAACUGAGGUACCCUUAAGCAAGAUCAUAUCUUUUUGUUUCUAUGUAGUUCAAGAUUUCACUUUUCCUGUGGUUUCUUUGUUAUUUUCUUUUUCUGGGUGUGUGAGAUAUCUUGUUUUUCAUGUGAAUUAAUUAUUUAUCUUGUCGAUAAGUUCAUUUAUUUGUUGCCUUUUAAACACCAAUUGAGGUUAUUCUAUGAAAUCAUUUCCAAAAAAGAUACCUUCAAGUGAAAAUAGCAGAGUUUUGGUAAGUUUUCUUGACAAGUAGGGAGACUGCUUUUUGUCCUAAGAGUCAUAUGUAGCACUAUACUCGUAUGGGAUUUGAUAUCAAUUAGCACAACUAGUUCUAAAGGUAUAUCCAUUUUGCGAGACUUACCAAGGAGGAAUUAAUACGCAGAUAUUGGAUCAUGUUCAGCAGUAAGGUGAAUGUUAGAUUUUUCAUGUCUUCGAAAAUGUUUCCCGAGAAAUACAGAAGAUGCUUGAGAUAUUUUCUUCAGUGUUUAGUUUUGAUUAAACAUUGUUACAUUAAGGUGGUGUUAUGUGAGCCCUUCCCCGUUAUACAUCUUUACUUCUAUUUUACAAAAUUUUCACCAUCCUCUCCAUCGAGCAUGCAUAGAAGGUGUUGGUCUAAAUGAUUUACCAAUAACCUUUCUCUAACUAGGGAUGUCUAGGAUUAGGACUUUCGAUAAAUCGAGGUCUGCUUGGCAUGAUCCACUCAUGAUCCUCAAAUCCGUUUCUCUGCCUCAAAGAUUUCAUCAUUUUCUUCAAGUGUAUAUACAAAACAAAACUAGAUGGUGAAACAUGCAUUUAUUAAUAUCAGAACUAAUUUACUUAAAAGGAGACAAUCAUAAACUGUGAAUGGAAUUGUUAACAAAAUACCCCAAUCGACUAUUUCCUCAUGUUAUUAGCUUGAUGCUAACAGGUACACUACAGAGCUAUUAGAUUUUUCAUGUCAUAGGUAACAAUGAUUCCUAGGGAAUAGGGGAUGCUCGAUGUGAUUUUUCAAUAUAAAGUUUUGAUAGUAACAUUGUUGUGUCAUAGUGUUAAGGUCUCGUGUAUGAGACAUUCUUGUUUUACAUCUUUAUUUCCAUUUUACAAGACUUACUACAACAAGUUACUGAUACAGAGAUAUCUAUCUUGUCUAGAAGUAAAAGCGAAUGUUAGAUUUUUCAUGUCAGGGGAAAUGAUAUCCUGGGAAAUUGGGGAUGCUUGAUGUAUUUUCUUCAGUAUAAAUGUUUUAUAACAACUUGGCUGUGCCAUUCCAUUAAGCUAUUUUCACUUGAGCCUUUUGUGUUUUACGUCUUUAUUUUCAUUUUACAAAGCUUACUCGUGUAUAUGAGUAAAAGUGGAUAUUAGACUUUUUAUGUCGUAGGAAAUAGGGUUUCCUGAGAUAUAGGAGAUGCUUGAUGUAUUUCUUCAAUAUUAAGUUUUUAAUAAUGUUGCUGUUUGAUCGUUAAGGUGUCAUUACGUAAGCCUUUAAUUAUUUCACAUCUUUUUUUUUAUUGUACAAAACUCACUUUACUCCUGCUAAUAAGAAGAUAUUGAGCAUGUGCUGAAGUACUUUCCUGUCAUAGGAGUGAUCAGUGGAUCUUUCCUGUCAUAGGAGUGAUCAGUGAUGUUUCCUACUAAAAGGAGAUUGUUGAUGUAUUUUCUACAAAUAUUUGGUUUCAAUAACAAUGUUAUUGUAUCAUUGCCUUAAGGUUGCUUUUCUUGCUUUACAUUCCUAUUUCCAUUUCACAAAAUUUUCUGCUACUGUUACUAAUAUGGAGUAAUUGGUCAUGCAUUGAAGUACAAUUUGAUAUUGUGUUUUCAAGACACAGGAAUGUUGUUUCCUACGAAAUAGGAUUGAUAAAUUUUUGUUGAAUAGUUUUGAUAGCAACAUUGCUGCAUCAUUGCAUUAAGGUGUUGAUUUGUGAGCCUUACAAACUUAAUAACAGAUACUAACACAGAGAUAUUGAUAUUGUCUAGAAGUAAAAAUGGAAAGACCUUUUUUUUUUCUUUUCGUGGAUGAUGGUGGUGUCCGGGCCAGCUUGCGCACACCUCAACUAUUCCAUCGGUUACCUUCUACCUCCCAUCAGCACAGUUUUCAGGUAACUCUGCCCACAUCUUUAAUGUCAUAUAUAGGAAACGAUGUUCGCUAGAAAAUUUGAGAUGCCUGAUGUAUUUUCUUCAAUAUAAAGAAUUGAUCACAGCAUUGCUAUAUUAUUGCAGUAAGGUGUCGUUAUGUGAACCUUUCUUGUUUUGCGUCUUUAUUGCCCUCUCUUGGAAACUUUGAGAAUAUGGCAUUCAUCAACUAAAAAAUUGAUCUGCUCGAUUUCAUGUGGUCUUCUGCCGUCAAAUGUUUCCAUUCAGAAGAACAUCUCAACUUCCAAGUUGCUGGUCCAAUCCCUUGAAGGAAGUUCCUUGCAGCCUUUAACGACACGUAGGACAUUUGUUUUUAUGGUGGGACUUCUAAUGUCCCAAAAUCCAAGUUGAGUUAUAGAAUCCAUAAAUUGAGGAAAUGAUGACAUUAACUUAAACAUCAUAAUCAUACUUGCUACACCACUUGUGAUUCUUCUGGUUUCAUUUUAUAUAUCUCAAUGCUGAACUUGGUCUUCAGAAUAUGAGCUUUGCAUUACAUGAACGUCUUCAUCAUUUUUAUCUCGUCAUGGAUAAGACUUUGCAUAACACAUAUUUUUUCAAACGGACAGAACCCUGCUAAAAGCUUAAAACAAUAAAAUUGUGUGCUAACAGUAGCCUAUAUUUCUAGGGAAAAUAGUCUUUCACAAUCCUUAGACCUUAUUGUAAGAUCCCAUCAUGUACAUAUAAAAACCUCAUGGAAGCUUAGGGCCUCCAUCUAAAGAUCCCUCAUGCUUCUACUUCGCUGAAAUGUGCAACCUCUGGUGGUCCAAGGGUUGUUCUAACUUACUAUGAUUUAUGGUUGAGGAAGAAAGUUCUCUUUUAUGCAGACUAUACAUGCUUGUUGGUCCUUAAAUUGCCCUUAAUAUGUAAGGUGAGAUCCUGUUGUGUAAAUUGGGUUUAACAUGAUCCCCAACUAUCAUCCAAGCUUGGAUGAGAAGUGGAUUAUGAGAACUUUAUUAGAUGCUUCCGGGGAGUUGAUUAAAUUCUUGCAGUACUAGUACUUGGGUAAGUUAGCAAGAACAACAGGAAUUGGCAAGGUCGAAAGACAAAGAUGUAACGUAUAAGGCAAUGGCUUAAGGAAGAGAUAACCAUCAUUAUGUUUAUCUGCAGAAGAUAUGUUCUACACCACCCUACAAGUGAAGGACAAAUUCAUCAUUUGUUUGCUGAGAGAGGUGCUUCAGUAUUUAUAUAUGAGUUAGCCUCGCGUUAUGCCCUGUCAGAUGUCUGGUAGUGUUUAUAAGUGACUGAUCUUUUAUUAUGUUGUGAAAUGAAAUUGCAUCUUCUGGAUUGUGGCAUAUGUCUACCAAAACAUGUGUAUCCCAUGUUCUUACUGGCCAAACACAUUUCUAGAUGACAUGUCUCAUUUUUCAGUAUGAAUUAUGAGAGAAUAAACAAGUAUACUUUACCUAGUUCAUAUUUGUCUGCUAAAUAUAACUUCUGAUCGAAACAAAUAAAAAAACAGAUGCGAUAGACGAGAUAUCCUGUCUACCCUGUCUGUAGAGUAUUAUUAAGGCAUUGCCUCAUACAGUUACCUUAUUUUAUUCUAUCAUUGGUUCCCCCAAUAGAAACACUUCAGGAGUUGCAAUUUCCUCACUUGUCAGACUUGAUAAUUUUUGCUGAUAACAUGAGGGGGCGAAGUCAUCCCUCGAUGUCUUCUUUCAUGCAGAACCUUGUUAGGCAUUUCAAGUUAGUUCUUAAGUCAUACUUGACCCCAUAGUAAUUUGCACAAAAUAGCACGGCAUUUCGGACUGGUCAUUCAAAAAUAGCCAGCGUUUACCAAGUCAAUGAAAAAUAGCCACUAUUUUGCUGCAGCAGAGACUGGUCCAGCAUAAUAUACUGAAGUUCGGUGCACCUGUGCAUGAACUCCAGCAUAAUAUGGACCGGUAUACUUUGCUGGCUCCAGUAUAAUAUACUGGACACUGGAGCACCGGUGCUCCAAACUCCAGUAUAUUAUGCUGGACCGGUAUACUUACUGAAUAUGCUGGAGUUCCAGCAUACUUAUCUUGGAACUCCAGUAUAAUAUGUUGGAGUUCAAGUAUACUUAUGCUGGAACUCCAGCAUAAUAUACUGGCAUAUUUUCCGGGUUUUGAAAAGUGUUUUCGCUCAGAUUUAUCUUUACAUGAAAAGUGACUAAAUUUCGAUUACUUUUGAAACUGGGCUAUUUUUGAACGACCAAUUGUAAAUCUGGCUAUUUUUGAAUUUUACCCCACAAAUUCUCACUUUCAACAAUGAAAUUCAGCCCGGGAAUGACAACAUCUGUCCAGGAAGUUUUUGAAACACGGUGUUCUUCCCUUAAAUUCCUGGGUGAAACGAUCCCAACCAGGAGAAGUAUCGAAGUGAGUUUUGCAUCAUAGGAUGAGAGGAAGCUGAAGAUGGUACAGGUAAAAAAAGGUGCUUCUCCAUUGCUUUGUCAUUCAAGAGUACAGAUAGCAAUAUAACUUAGAGUUAUGUGUACAGGUCAACGGGUGAGGGGUCCCAAAGGGAGUUCUGGGAUGAACUUUCAUGUUUGUUUUGAGAAUGAAGAGUUCUUAGAUGUCAGGAGGAAAUUUUAAUACGAUGAGUUAUUUGGAUGAAAGGAUGGAAUUUGACUCUCUAGGGCAAUGAAGUGUUCAGAGUUUAUUGAUAGCCUUUAGCUAGUUGAUGUCAGGUGCUCAUUUCACGUGGACCAGGAUGAAGGAGUCAAUGUCCAAAUUCAGAAUUGACAUAUUUCACAUUUCAACCACAUGGAGCGGUAGCCCCAGAUAUCAUCCAAAUCCCCUGUCAUAUGCAUACAUCCGAUUUUGGUCUCAAAGAACUGUAAUAUAAAUUUUGUCAGAUGUCAAAAGUAUGAAGCUUAGUUCUCGAAUGCUUGGUCAAACUAUUAUACAGAAACCAUAUGGAUGAGGUGUAAUGAAACACAUUUAGUGGGAUUGUAUUACAUAGUCUCAGUUCUUAUUUUAGUCAUUGUUUAGUGAACUUGACUUUUCUGAAAAGUAACCUCAUUCAGUGAAUGGGUUUAUCAUGAACCAGAUAUUGAAGUUUUAGAAUACAAUACUAGCUCAAGGACGAGGAAUUUUAUGAUCUUUGCUUCUGAUUAAUUUUUAUUUUUAUUUUCGAUACAUAGAUCAUGUUAAUGCUUAAUCUAUAUAUGUCUUGCUUGAUUUCAGCUAUAUAUUGAUUCUUAGCCAUGUUCCUUUUCACUUUUGGGUUCCCCGUAAACUUUACCCCUCUAUGCAUCUUUCCCUGACUCAUAUAUUGG
rnacentral:lncRNA from 1 species